rnacentral:rRNA from 1 species
GCUUACGGCCAUACCACCCUGAGCACGCCCGAUCUCGUCUGAUCUCGGAAGCUAAGCAGGGUCGGGCCUGGUUAGUACUUGGAUGGGAGACCGCCUGGGAAUACCAGGUGCUGUAAGCUUUU